UGUAAAUAAAUGUAUGAUGCAUCCUGUACUUUGAUUACGGUAGAUUUAGUUUAAUUCUAAGAUUUACAA
rnacentral:tRNA from 1 species